GAUGAACGCUGACAGAAUGCUUAACACAUGCAAGUCGAUGGGGAAGUGGUGCUUGCACCAUGGCAACCAUGGCGGACGGGUGAGUAACGCGUAAGGGACUUACCUGCAGGACUGGGAUAACAGGGGGAAACUCCUGACAAGACCGGAUAAUGUCAUGGAGCUGCAUGGCUUUAUGAUGAAAGGAGACGCCUGCGGAGAGCCUUGCGUCCUAUUAGCUAGUUGGUGAGGUAAUGGCUCACCAAGGCGAAGAUAGGUAGCCGGCCUGAGAGGGUGGACGGCCACAAGGGGACUGAGAUCCGGCCCUUACUCCUACGGGAGGCAGCAGUGGGGAAUAUUGGACAAUGGGGGCAACCCUGAUCCAGCAAUUCUGUGUGCACGAAGAAGGUUUUCGGAUUGUAAAGUGCUUUCAGCAGGGAAGAAGUAAGUGACGGUACCUGCAGAAGAAGCGACGGCUAAAUACGUG
rnacentral:rRNA from 1 species